AAUGGAAGCUGCAGGAACCAACCAUGUGGACAAAAGAGAAAAAUCCCUUUGUCUGCAGCAGGCAGCGAUCCUACAUAAACAUGGAGGUCUCUGUCGGACUUAGGACAGCUGGCUAAGUCUGAUCGUUCCCCUCCAUACAGC
ensembl:scaRNA SCARNA3 small Cajal body-specific RNA 3